GUGGGUGAUCUGCCCUGCACUUUGGGAUAAGCCUGGGAAACUGGGUCUAAUACCGAAUAGGACCACGCGCUUCAUGGUGUGUGGUGGAAAGCUUUUGCGGUGUGGGAUGGGCCCGCGGCCUAUCAGCUUGUUGGUGGGGUAAUGGCCUACCAAGGCGACGACGGGUAGCCGGCCUGAGAGGGUGACCGGCCACACUGGGACUGAGAUACGGCCCAGACUCCUACGGGAGGCAGCAGUGGGGAAUAUUGCACAAUGGGCGCAAGCCUGAUGCAGCGACGCCGCGUGAGGGAUGACGGCCUUCGGGUUGUAAACCUCUUUCAAUAGGGACGAAGCGCAAGUGACGGUACCUAUAGAAGAAGCACCGGCCAACUACGUGCCAGCAGCCGCGGUAAUACGUAGGGUGCGAGCGUUGUCCGGAAUUACUGGGCGUAAAGAGCUCGUAGGUGGUUUGUCGCGUUGUUCGUGAAAACUCACAGCUUAACUGUGGGCGUGCGGGCGAUACGGGCAGACUAGAGUACUGCAGGGGAGACUGGAAUUCCUGGUGUAGCGGUGGAAUGCGCAGAUAUCAGGAGGAACACCGGUGGCGAAGGCGGGUCUCUGGGCAGUGACUGACGCUGAGGAGCGAAAGCGUGGGGAGCGAACAGGAUUAGAUACCCUGGUAGUCCACGCCGUAAACGGUGGGUACUAGGUGUGGGUUCCUUCCUUGGGAUCCGUGCCGUAGCUAACGCAUUAAGUACCCCGCCUGGGGAGUACGGCCGCAAGGCUAAAACUCAAAGGAAUUGACGGGGGCCCGCACAAGCGGCGGAGCAUGUGGAUUAAAUUCGAUGCACGCGAAGAACCUUACCUGGGUU
rnacentral:rRNA from 1 species